UACGAAGGGGGCUAGCGUUGCUCGGAAUCACUGGGCGUAAAGGGUGCGUAGGCGGGUCUUUAAGUCAGGGGUGAAAUCCUGGAGCUCAACUCCAGAACUGCCUUUGAUACUGAGGAUCUUGAGUUCGGGAGAGGUGAGUGGAACUGCGAGUGUAGAGGUGAAAUUCGUAGAUAUUCGCAAGAACACCAGUGGCGAAGGCGGCUCACUGGCCCGGAACUGACGCUGAGACGCGAAAGCGUGGGGAGCAAACAAGG
rnacentral:rRNA from 1 species